GACGAACGCUGGCGGCGUGCCUAACACAUGCAAGUCGAACGGGUUCUUUUAAGAAGCUUGCUUCUUGGCUGAACUAGUGGCGGACGGGUGAGUAACACGUGAGCAAUCUGCCCAUAAGAGGGGGAUAACGUCUGGAAACGGACGCUAAUACCGCAUAACAUGCAAGGCCGGCAUCGGCAAUGCAUCAAAGGAGAAAUCCGCUUAUGGAUGAGCUCGCGCCCGAUUAGAUAGUUGGCGGGGUAACGGCCCACCAAGUCGACGAUCGGUAGCCGGACUGAGAGGUUGAACGGCCACAUUGGGACUGAGACACGGCCCAGACUCCUACGGGAGGCAGCAGUGGGGAAUAUUGGGCAAUGGGGGAAACCCUGACCCAGCAACGCCGCGUGAAGGAAGAAGGUAUUCGUAUCGUAAACUUCUGGCAUAGAGGAAGAACGACUAGGGUAGGGAAUGACCCUGGAGUGACGGUACUCUAAGAGGAAGCCACGGCUAACUACGUGCCAGCAGCCGCGGUAAAAC
rnacentral:rRNA from 1 species